rnacentral:tRNA from 1 species
GCCGAAGUGGCGGAACCGGUAGACGCGCUACGUUCAGGGCGUAGUUCUCGUAAGGGAGUGGAGGUUCGAGUCCUCUCUUCGGCA